GACGUAGGGUCCAAGCGUUGUCCGGAUUUACUGGGCGUAAAGAGCGCGUAGGCGGUCUGUUAAGUGUAGAGUGAAAUCUCCAGGGCUCAACCCGGAAACUGCUCUGCAUACUGGCAGACUUGAGGGAUGCAGAGGUUUGUGGAAUUCCUGGUGUAACGGUGAAAUGCGCAGAUAUCAGGAGGAACACCAAUGGCGAAGGCAGCUCGCUGGGACGGUACUGACGCUGAGACGCGAAAGCGUGGGGAGCAAACAGG
rnacentral:rRNA from 1 species